UGCGUGUGUGUGUGUGUGUGUGUCAGGGUCAUCUCCAUGGUCAGAAGAUGCGUGAAGCCAAUCACCGAGCGGCGGCCCAGAUCUUUGAGCGGGUCAACUCCUCCCUGCUGCCUCAGAAUGUGCUAGACUUCCACGGACUGCAUGUCGACGAGGCCUUACUGCACCUGUCUGAGGUGUUAGAGAGGAAGACCACAGGUACACCUAGCUAGACCUCCAGGGACUGCAUGUCGACGAGGCCUUACUGCACCUGUCUGAGGUGUUAGAGAGGAAGACCACAGGUACACCUAGCUAGACCUCCAGGGACUGCAUGUCGACGAGGCCUUACUGCACCUGUCUGAGGUGUUAGAGAGGAAGACCACAGGUACACCUAGCUAGACCUCCAGGGACUGCAUGUCGACGAGGCCUUACUGCACCUGUCUGAGGUGUUAGAGAGGAAGACCACAGGUACACCUAGCUAGACCUCCAGGGACUGCAUGUCGACGAGGCCUUACUGCACCUGUCUGAGGUGUUAGAGAGGAAGACCACAGGUACACCUAGCUAGACCUCCAGGGACUGCAUGUCGACGAGGCCUUACUGCACCUGUCUGAGGUGUUAGAGAGGAAGACCACAGGUACACCUAGCUAGACCUCCAGGGACUGCAUGUCGACGAGGCCUUACUGCACCUGUCUGAGGUGUUAGAGAGGAAGACCACAGGUACACCUAGCUAGACCUCCAGGCUGUGUGAUGAAGAGGAAGACCACAGGUACACCUAGGUAGACCUCCUGGCUGUGUGAUGAAGAGGUGUUAGAGAGGAAGACCACAGGUACACCUCCAGGCUGAGUGAUGAAGAGGUGUUAGAGAGGAAGACCACAGGUACACCUAGCUAGACCUCCAGGCUGUGUGAUGAAGAGGUGUUAGAGAGGAAGACCACAGGUACACCUAGCUAGACCUCCAGGCUGUGUGAUGAAGAGGUGUUAGAGAGGAAGACCACAGGUACACCUAGCUAGACCUCCAGGCUGUGUGAUGAAGAGGUGUUAGAGAGGAAGACCACAGGUACACCUAGCUAGACCUCCAGGCUGUGUGAUGAAGAGGUGUUAGAGAGGAAGACCACAGGUACACCUAGCUAGACCUCCAGGCUGCGUGAUGAAGAGGUGUUAGAGAGGAAGACCACAGGUACACCUAGCUAGACCUCCAGGCUGCGUGAUGAUGAGGAGUUAGAGAGGAAGACCACAGGUACACCUAGCUAGACCUCCAGGCUGCGUGAUGAUGAGGAGUUAGAGAGGAAGACCACAGGUACACCUAGCUAGACCUCCAGGCUGCGUGAUGAAGAGGAGUUAGAGAGGAAGACCACAGGUACACCUAGCUAGACCUCCAGGCUGCGUGAUGAAGAGGAGUUAGAGAGGAAGACCACAGGUACACCUAGCUAGACCUCCAGGCUGCGUGAUGAUGAGGAGUUAGAGAGGAAGACCACAGGUACACCUAGCUAGACCUCCAGGCUGCGUGAUGAAGAGGAGUUAGAGAGGAAGACCACAGGUACACCUAGCUAGACCUCCAGGCUGCGUGAUGAAGAGGAGUUAGAGAGGAAGACCACAGGUACACCUAGCUAGACCUCCAGGCUGCGUGAUGAAGAGGUGUUAGAGAGGAAGACCACAGGUACACCUAGCUAGACCUCCAGGCUGUGUGAUGAAGAGGUGUUAGAGAGGAAGACCACAGGUACACCUAGCUAGACCUCCAGGCUGCGUGAUGAUGAGGAGUUAGAGAGGAAGACCACAGGUACACCUAGCUAGACCUCCAGGCUGCGUGAUGAAGAGGAGUUAGAGAGGAAGACCACAGGUACACCUAGCUAGACCUCCAGGCUGUGUGAUGAAGAGGUGUUAGAGAGGAAGACCACAGGUACACCUAGCUAGACCUCCAGGCUGCGUGAUGAAGAGGAGUUAGAGAGGAAGACCACAGGUACACCUAGCUAGACCUCCAGGCUGAGUGAUGAAGAGGAGUUAGAGAGGAAGACCACAGGUACACCUAGCUAGACCUCCAGGCUGUGUGAUGAAGAGGAGUUAGAGAGGAAGACCACAGGUACACCUAGCUAGACCUCCAGGCUGUGUGAUGAAGAGGAGUUAGAGAGGAAGACCACAGGUACACCUAGCUAGACCUCCAGGCUGCGUGAUGAAGAGGAGUUAGAGAGGAAGACCACAGGUACACCUAGCUAGACCUCCAGGCUGUGUGAUGAAGAGGAGUUAGAGAGGAAGACCACAGGUACACCUAGCUAGACCUCCAGGCUGCGUGAUGAAGAGGAGUUAGAGAGGAAGACCACAGGUACACCUAGCUAGACCUCCAGGCUGCGUGAUGAAGAGGAGUUAGAGAGGAAGACCACAGGUACACCUAGCUAGACCUCCAGGCUGCGUGAUGAAGAGGAGUUAGAGAGGAAGACCACAGGUACACCUAGCUAGACCUCCAGGCUGCGUGAUGAAGAGGAGUUAGAGAGGAAGACCACAGGUACACCUAGCUAGACCUCCAGGCUGCGUGAUGAAGAGGAGUUAGAGAGGAAGACCACAGGUACACCUAGCUAGACCUCCAGGCU